CCGCGCAUCGCGCUAUGAUGGAGUCGAGCGAACGACGAGGAGCUUGCUCCUCUGACGUUAGCGGCGGACGGGUGAGUAACACGUGGAUAACCUACCUAUAAGACUGGGAUAACUUCGGGAAACCGGAGCUAAUACCGGAUAAUAUAUUGAACCGCAUGGUUCAAUAGUGAAAGACGGUUUUGCUGUCACUUAUAGAUGGAUCCGCGCCGCAUUAGCUAGUUGGUAAGGUAACGGCUUACCAAGGCAACGAUGCGUAGCCGACCUGAGAGGGUGAUCGGCCACACUGGAACUGAGACACGGUCCAGACUCCUACGGGAGGCAGCAGUAGGGAAUCUUCCGCAAUGGGCGAAAGCCUGACGGAGCAACGCCGCGUGAGUGAUGAAGGUCUUCGGAUCGUAAAACUCUGUUAUUAGGGAAGAACAAAUGUGUAAGUAACUAUGCACGUCUUGACGGUACCUAAUCAGAAAGCCACGGCUAACUACGUGCCAGCAGCCGCGGUAAUACGUAGGUGGCAAGCGUUAUCCGGAAUUAUUGGGCGUAAAGCGCGCGUAGGUGGUUUUUUAAGUCUGAUGUGAAAGCCCACGGCUCAACCGUGGAGGGUCAUUGGAAACUGGAAAACUUGAGUGCAGAAGAGGAAAGUGGAAUUCCAUGUGUAGCGGUGAAAUGCGCAGAGAUAUGGAGGAACACCAGUGGCGAAGGCGACUUUCUGGUCUGUAACUGACGCUGAUGUGCGAAAGCGUGGGGAUCAAACAGGAUUAGAUACCCUGGUAGUCCACGCCGUAAACGAUGAGUGCUAAGUGUUAGGGGGUUUCCGCCCCCUUAGUGCUGCAGCUAACGCAUUAAGCACUCCGCCUGG
rnacentral:rRNA from 1 species